UGUCCAGCAACUCCUAUCCCUACCUCCUCGCGGUACCGGCCGGAAGCUAUGAGCAACCUUAGGGAAGA
rfam:Aedes albopictus isolate Foshan contig57326, whole genome shotgun sequence.